rnacentral:rRNA from 1 species
CUGCGAAUGGCUCAUUAAAUCAGCUAUGGUUUAUUGGAUCAUACCCGUUAAAUGGAUAACUGUAAUAACUCUAGAGCUAAUACAUGCCUUGAAGCCCUGACUCAGUCGUUUAGGCUGGGAAUGGGUGCACUUAUUAGAUCAGAAGCCAACUGACCGGGCUAACACCUGGUUAAAGCACUUCUGGUGACUCUGGAUAAUUGUUACAGAUCGCAGUCGGCCUUGAGUCGGCGACGGGUCCUUCAAAUGUCUGCCCUAUCAACUUUCGAUGGUAGGUGACCUGCCUACCAUGGUGAUAACGGGUAACGGGGAAUCAGGGUUCGAUUCCGGAGAGGGAGCCUGAGAAACGGCUACCACUUCCAAGGGAGGCAGCAGGCGCGCAAAUUACCCACUCCCAGCGCGGGGAGGUGGUGACGAAAAAUACCGAUGCGGGACUCCUAUGAGGCUCCGUAAUCGGAAUGAGUGGACUCUAAAUCCUUUCACGAGGAUCAAUUGGAGGGCAAGUCUGGUGCCAGCAGCCGCGGUAACUCCAGCUCCAAUAGCGUAUAUUAAAGUUGCUGCAGUUAAAAAGCUCGUAGUUGGAUCUCGGUCGCAUUUUUGCCUGUUGGUAUUAUUGGGCGGCGGUGCUGGGCUGUCGGCGUGCCGUGGUUGUGUGCGGGUAGCCCGAGAGGGUCCGUGCAUGGUUGCGGUCGUUGGCAGUCUGUUCAAUGCGCAGUCGUCCCAAGCUGGCACGGCGAGGAUGUAACCUGUAAGCCAUGUCUGUGGAGUAACAUCCACAGGUGUAUGCGGGUGUCGGGCAGUGCACUGCACUUGUUGUGGAGCCUGUCGGCCCGUGUGCAUGCCCCCUUGGUGCCCUUAAUAAGGUGUCGGGGGGCGGAUGGCACGUUUACUUUGAACAAAUUUGAGUGCUCAAAUCAGGCCGAUGUUGCCUGAAUAGUUUUGCAUGGAAUAAUGGAAUAGGACUUCGGUUCUAUUUCGUUGGGGUUUUCGGAUCCGAAGUAAUGAUCAAAAGAGACAGGCGGGGACGUUUGUAUGGCUGCGCUAGAGGUGAAAUUCAUGGACCGUAGCCAGACAAACUAAAGCGAAAGCAUUCGUCAAGCAUGUUUUCAUUGGCCAUGAGCGAAAGUCAGAGGCUCGAAGACGAUCAGAUACCGUCCUAGUUCUGACCAUAAACGAUGCCAACUGACGAUCCGUGGUGGUAGUAUAAACCUUCCCCACGGGCAGUCCCCGGGAAACCUUUAAGUCUUUGGGUUCCGGGGGAAGUAUGGUUGCAAAGCUGAAACUUAAAGGAAUUGACGGAAGGGCACCACCAGGAGUGGAGCCUGCGGCUUAAUUUGACUCAACACGGGAAAACUCACCCGGGCCGGACACUAUGAGGAUUGACAGAUUGAUAGCUCUUUCUUGAUUUGGUGGAUGGUGGUGCAUGGACGUUCUUAGUUGGUGGAGCGAUUUGUCUGGUUAAUUCCGAUAACGAACGAGACUCCAGCCUGCUAAUUAGUGCGUUCGUCCACUGUCCCUGUUGGACGGCGUUGAAUGCGGCUGCUUGUGGGCCCUAGGUCUACUCUGCGGCUUGUCAGACGACGUUAGUCCUCGGGGGCGGCGCGAAUGCUCACUUCUUAGAGGGACAAGCGGGAGAAGCCGCACGAAAUAGAGCAAUAACAGGUCUGUGAUGCCCUUAGAUGUCCGGGGCCGCACGCGCGCUACAAUGGCGGUGUCAACGAGUGAGACCUUCUGGCCCGAGAGGGUUGGAUAAACUGGUCAAUCACCGUCAUGACAGGGAUCGGGGCUUGGAAUUGUUCCCCGUGAACGAGGAAUUCCUAGUAAGUGCAAGUCAUAAGCUUGCGCUGAUUACGUCCCUGCCCUUUGUACACACCGCCCGUCG